rnacentral:misc_RNA from 1 species
UUAUCAUCGCGGGGGUCGCCGAAGGUGCCCAACACCAGACUGUCGAAUCGAAAAUUCGCGAUGACAUCAACUUAUCUCAGUUGGAAAUCAACGACUCACGAUGACUUUAACCUUCACAUGACUGAGCUGGCACCAUAUGGCACCACCCCGUGACCCACACAUAUCAGAUGGUUAUCGGGCUGUACGAAGGUUAUGCUGCAUCGAGGGCUGGCGAUCGUCCACGGGUAUUGAAAUCGCGCUCUGUGUAACAUCGCGGUUGUUCCGGCCAACUUUCAUUUCAACUUUUAAGAAAAUUUCACGGUAAGAGAACAUCGAUACGUCAUCCUUCGAACUCAA